rnacentral:lncRNA from 1 species
UUGCGUUGGUGACUAAGCACCUUCGCUUGCAGAGAGAAAUCACAGUGUGGUCAAAAGCUUCAAAGUCUCUUUCCUCUGUGAUUCUCUGUGCUAGCGGAAGAGCUUGCUCCUCCAACCUUAUCUCUCACUCGAUGUCUCUAAAUUCAUGUCCAUGAGCUUAUAUGUUUUGAAAUCUUCGUAAUUCUGAAUGUUCGUUUUGAGUUUAUGUUCAUAGGAAGGGUAAUGAUAAUGUUUUAUUAAUUUGUUGGUAACAGA